CGCGAGCUGGGUUUAGAACGUCGUGAGACAGUUCGGUCCCUAUCUGCCGUGGGCGCUGGAGAACUGAGGGGGGCUGCUCCUAGUACGAGAGGACCGGAGUGGACGCAUCACUGGUGUUCGGGUUGUCAUGCCAAUGGCACUGCCCGGUAGCUAAAUGCGGAAGAGAUAAGUGCUGAAAGCAUCUAAGCACGAAACUUGCCCCGAGAUGAGUUCUCCCUGACCCUUUAAGGGUCCUGAAGGAACGUUGAAGACGACGACGUUGAUAGGCCGGGUGUGUAAGCGCAGCGAUGCGUUGAGCUAACCGGUACUAAUGAACCGUGAGGCUUAACCUUACAACGCCGAAGGUGUUU
rnacentral:rRNA from 1 species